GUGGAUAUAGCUCAGUGGUAGAGCACGUGCUUAGCAUGCAUGAGGUCCCGGGUUCAAUUCCCCCAACCUCC
rnacentral:tRNA from 1 species